GACUCGUCACACUAUCAUUAACUGAAUCCAUAGGUUAAUGAGGCGAACCGGGGGAACUGAAACAUCUAAGUACCCCGAGGAAAAGAAAUCAACCGAGAUUCCCCCAGUAGCGGCGAGCGAACGGGGAGGAGCCCAGAGCCUGAAUCAGCAUGUGUGUUAGUGGAAGCGUCUGGAAAGGCGCGCGAUACAGGGUGACAGCCCCGUACACAAAAGCGCAUGUGCUGUGAGCUCGAUGAGUAGGGCGGGACACGUGGUAUCCUGUCUGAAUAUGGGGGGACCAUCCUCCAAGGCUAAAUACUCCUGACUGACCGAUAGUGAACCAGUACCGUGAGGGAAAGGCGAAAAGAACCCCGGCGAGGGGAGUGAAAAAGAACCUGAAACCGUGUACGUACAAGCAGUGGGAGCCCCACCACUAAGCCAGUGGUGAACUCCACAUACGCAUCCUUUGCUGAGGAUACGGUUAACGGAGCGAAAGCGACGUUCAACCGCAAAAGAAGCAGAGGGGGCUUAGUGGUGGGGUGACUGCGUACCUUUUGUAUAAUGGGUCAGCGACUUAUAUUCUGUAGCAAGGUUAACCGAAUAGGGGAGCCGGAGGGAAACCGAGUCUUAAUUGGGCGUUAAGUUGCAGGGUAUAGACCCGAAACCCGGUGAUCUAGCCAUGGGCAGGUUGAAGGUUGGGUAACACUAACUGGAGGACCGAACCGACUAAUGUUGAAAAAUUAGCGGAUGACCUGUGGCUGGGGGUGAAAGGCCAAUCAAACCGGGAGAUAGCUGGUUCUCCCCGAAAGCUAUUUAGGUAGCGCCUCGUGAAUUCAUCUCCGGGGGUAGAGCACUGUUUCGGCUAGGGGGCCAUCCCGGCUUACCAACCCGAUGCAAACUGCGAAUACCGGAGAAUGUUAUCACGGGAGACACACGGCGGGUGCUAACGUCCGUCGUGAAGAGGGAAACAACCCAGACCGCCAGCUAAGGUCCCAAAGUCAUGGUUAAGUGGGAAACGAUGUGGGAAGGCCCAGACAGCCAGGAUGUUGGCUUAGAAGCAGCCAUCAUUUAAAGAAAGCGUAAUAGCUCACUGGUCGAGUCGGCCUGCGCGGAAGAUGUAACGGGGCUAAACCAUGCACCGAAGCUGCGGCAGCGAACGUAUCACCCAAGACAACUUUACGGAGUUGACGAUUGACGGAGCGAAGCGACGUCAAAGCGUUCAUUAAAGUCGAGUUGGCUUAGGGAUACGUUCGUUGGGUAGGGGAGCGUUCUGUAAGCCUGUGAAGGUGUGUCGUGAGGCAUGCUGGAGGUAUCAGAAGUGCGAAUGCUGACAUAAGUAACGAUAAAGCGGGUGAAAAGCCCGCUCGCCGGAAGACCAAGGGUUCCUGUCCAACGUUAAUCGGGGCAGGGUGAGUCGACCCCUAAGGCGAGGCCGAAAGGCGUAGUCGAUGGGAAACGGGUUAAUAUUCCCGUACUUGGUGUUACUGCGAAGGGGGGACGGAGAAGGCUAUGUUGGCCGGGCGACGGUUGUCCCGGUUUAAGCGUGUAGGUGUGUGUUCCAGGUAAAUCCGGUU
rnacentral:rRNA from 1 species